GGCAGUUUACCGGAUGACUCCCAGGUUCCCUGCGUGAACCACAUGGAGGAUUGUCCAUGAAAAGAAGUGGGAGAGAUAGGAAGAGCGU